rnacentral:rRNA from 1 species
GGGUUGUGAGGUUAAGCGACUAAGCGUACACGGUGGAUGCCCUGGCAGUCAGAGGCGAUGAAGGACGUGCUAAUCUGCGAUAAGCGUCGGUAAGGUGAUAUGAACCGUUAUAACCGGCGAUUUCCGAAUGGGGAAACCCAGUGUGUUUCGACACACUAUCAUUAACUGAAUCCAUAGGUUAAUGAGGCGAACCGGGGGAACUGAAACAUCUAAGUACCCCGAGGAAAAGAAAUCAACCGAGAUUCCCCCAGUAGCGGCGAGCGAACGGGGAGCAGCCCAGAGCCUGAAUCAGUGUGUGUGUUAGUGGAAGCGUCUGGAAAGGCGCGCGAUACAGGGUGACAGCCCCGUACACAAAAAUGCACAUGCUGUGAGCUCGAUGAGUAGGGCGGGACACGUGGUAUCCUGUCUGAAUAUGGGGGGACCAUCCUCCAAGGCUAAAUACUCCUGACUGACCGAUAGUGAACCAGUACCGUGAGGGAAAGGCGAAAAGAACCCCGGCGAGGGGAGUGAAAAAGAACCUGAAACCGUGUACGUACAAGCAGUGGGAGCACGCUUCGGCGUGUGACUGCGUACCUUUUGUAUAAUGGGUCAGCGACUUAUAUUCUGUAGCAAGGUUAACCGAAUAGGGGAGCCGAAGGGAAACCGAGUCUUAACUGGGCGUUAAGUUGCAGGGUAUAGACCCGAAACCCGGUGAUCUAGCCAUGGGCAGGUUGAAGGUUGGGUAACACUAACUGGAGGACCGAACCGACUAAUGUUGAAAAAUUAGCGGAUGACUUGUGGCUGGGGGUGAAAGGCCAAUCAAACCGGGAGAUAGCUGGUUCUCCCCGAAAGCUAUUUAGGUAGCGCCUCGUGAACUCGUCUCCGGGGGUAGAGCACUGUUUCGGCAAGGGGGUCAUCCCGACUUACCAACCCGAUGCAAACUGCGAAUACCGGAGAAUGUUAUCACGGGAGACACACGGCGGGUGCUAACGUCCGUCGUGAAGAGGGAAACAACCCAGACCGCCAGCUAAGGUCCCAAAGUCAUGGUUAAGUGGGAAACGAUGUGGGAAGGCCCAGACAGCCAGGAUGUUGGCUUAGAAGCAGCCAUCAUUUAAAGAAAGCGUAAUAGCUCACUGGUCGAGUCGGCCUGCGCGGAAGAUGUAACGGGGCUAAACCAUGCACCGAAGCUGCGGCAGCGAC